rnacentral:rRNA from 1 species
UACAGGGGUGCAAACGUUGCUCGGAAUCAUUGGGCGUAAAGCGCACGUAGGCGGUUCGUUAUGUCGGAUGUGAAAGCCCUUGGCUUAACCGAGGAAGUGCAUCCGAAACUGGCGAGCUAGAGUACUAAAGAGGAUCGCGGAAUUCCCGGUGUAGAGGUGAAAUUCGUAGAUAUCGGGAGGAACACCGGUGGCGAAGGCGGCGAUCUGGGUAGAUACUGACGCUGAGGUGCGAAAGCGUGGGGAGCAAACAGG